AAAUAGAUACCCCUGGUAGUCCACGCCGUAAACGGUGGGCACUAGGUGUGGGCGACAUUCCACGUCGUCCGUGCCGCAGCUAACGCAUUAAGUGCCCCGCCUGGGGAGUACGGCCGCAAGGCUAAAACUCAAAGGAAUUGACGGGGGGCCCGCACAAGCGGCGGAGCAUGUGGCUUAAUUCGACGCAACGCGAAGAACCUUACCAAGGCUUGACAUACACCGGAAACGUCCAGAGAUGGGCGCCCCCUUGUGGUCGGUGUACAGGUGGUGCAUGGCUGUCGUCAGCUCGUGUCGUGAGAUGUUGGGUUAAGUCCCGCAACGAGCGCAACCCUUGUCCCGUGUUGCCAGCAGGCCCUUGUGGUGCUGGGGACUCACGGGGAGACCGCCGGGGUCAACUCGGAGGAAGGUGGGGACGACGUCAAGGUCAUCAUGCCCCUUAUGUCUUGGGCUGCACACGUGCUACAAUGGCCGGUACAAUGAGCUGCGAUACCGCGAGGUGGAGCGAAUCUCAAAAAGCCGGUCUCAGUUCGGAUUGGGGUCUGCUAACCG
rnacentral:rRNA from 1 species